rnacentral:tRNA from 1 species
GUGUAUGUAGCUCAGCUGGAUAGAGCGUCUGACUACGGAUCAGAAGGCCGAGGGUUCAAAUCCUUUCAUACACA